UAAAUUUCUUAAUGCAAAUAACCUGUUAAUAUUCAUCUAAGGUGUGUUUACACCACCAUGUAUUCUGUAGUACACCAUGGCAGACAACAGAGGGCACACUCAGAUCAGCACUAUUAGUCACUAGACCAGUGACUUUAAGUCGUAAGCACUAUUAGGUAUGUUUGAUUAUCCGUGAAUUGUUUCCGCUUUACGGAGUACUGACACAGGAGGGCCCUGCAUAACUUGAUCCGACCGCAGGGCCGGCCCAGAGGGGGGGCGAGGUUCCUUACGGCGCAAAGGAGCAAUAGGCGCCUCGGAAAGAGCACAUUGCCGAAAAUGUGCAUUGCAUUUUAUAAACAAAAUGUCCAAACUAUUCACAUUAAGGAUUGUUGUGUAAAUUACGGAAGGUCAAGUAAAGUAAAAAAUAUGAGGAAAUGAAAACCAUCCGAUUGGUUGUCCUGAUGAAUCACACUUCCUGGGACGAGUUGAGGGAGGUGUGUGGGUGUCGUCUACAUCAGAGCUUCUCCAGGGUUUACCUUUAAAGCCAUUGACCGAAGCCAAAGAGAAAGACAUUUACGAAGGCGAGGUCAUAGAGACGGAAGGGGAUCUCUAACCUGGAACCACACCUGAUAUAGCUGCAACAGCAUAAGGUUGAGAGGAUACAUGAUUCAAGAAACCUGCUGGGGUAUAAAGGCGAGCUUGGCUUUAUUAUCAGAAAUUGUCGUGAUUUUUCCAAUAUUUUUGCUAUCAAAUCUCCAUAUGCUGCUUAUGUGCGAUCCAAACUGGAGUAUGGUUCUCUUAUUUGGUAUCCUUACUAUGACUGCCAUAAAACAACCCUGGAAGCAGUGCAGCGUAAGUUUCUGAAGUUUUUAUCGUUUAAAUUGGACAGAGUUUAUCCCGCAAUUGGUACUGAUCAUCAACUACUGCUAUCUCGAUUUCAGGUACAUUCCUUAGAAGUUCGCAGAACUCUGUCAAGCCUUAACUUUCUCUUCAAUUUGUUACACAAUAACCUAGAUUGUCCAUCUCUUCUUUCCCUUAUUCGGUUUCAUGUGCCACGUUCUUCGGCUCGUAAUGUAUAUACUUUCAAUUGUGCUAAGGCCAAUACAAACUUACUUUGUAAAUCACCUAUAUUUGUUAUGGUAAGCAACUUUAACAAAAUUGCUAAUA